UCUCUCUGUCCACCUGUCUCUCUCUGUCCACCUGUCUCUCUCUGUCCACCUGUCUCUCUCUGUCCACCUGUCUCUCUCUGUCCACCUGUCUCUGUCUGUCCACCUGUCUCUCUCUGUCCACCUGUCUCUCUCUGUCCACCGGGUCUCUCUGUCUGUCUGUCCUGUCUGCGUGCCUGUCCAUCCAUCCAUCCGUCUCUCUGUCCAGGGCCGAGGUCAGGUUUAAAGUAAGGGGUUAACAUUUGCCAGGGAUAAUCUCUCUUUAGGAGGUGAUUCCUUCUUGAUGUUAACCAGAGAGAAUAUAUUUUUGGCUGGUGGUGGAGGAGGUGAUUCCUUCUUGAUGUUAAGCAGAGAGAAUAUAUUUUGGGCUGGUGGUGGAGGAGGUGAUUCCUUCUUGAUGUUAAGCAGAGAGAAUAUAUUUUGGGCUGGUGGUGGAGGAGGUGAUUCCUUCUUGAUGUUAAGCAGAGAGAAUAUAUUUUGGGCUGGUGGUGGAGGAGGUGAUUCCUUCUUGAUGUUAAGCAGAGAGAAUAUCUUCUGCUCUCCUUUCUUCCUCUUACCCAGAGAGAGAGACUUCGGUGACACAGACUCCUUCCUAGAGUUAUCCAAUGACAGCCUCUUGAUUGACAGCGACUCCUUCCUCUUCCCGGCCACUGAAAACGUAUUAUUGGGAGUAAGGACCUCCCUCUUCAGGUUAUCCACUGACAGUUUGUCCAGAGGAGGAAUAAUGAUGCUUCUCUUCUGUUUCUUACUGGAUAAUGCCCCCUUCAGUUCACUCCAGGUCAACACUGAGUCCUGUUGCUUCUUUCUCCCCCCAAAUACAGUCUUCUUAGAGGAGGAGCCCCCCAUAGCAGACAGGGGGGGAGGAGCCCACCGUAGCAGACAGGGAGGAGAGGAAGAGAGCUGAGGUUCUUGGGUACUGAUCUGGAAUGACAUCAUAGCAAACGGUUCAUUAAUAUUAAAUUCAAAUGACCCAAAACAGACAUAAUGCAAGACUACUAAUUUACACGUAGACACACGACACACACACAAACACACACACACACAUAGACAGACACACACACAAGCACACACACACACACAUAGACAGACAAACACACACACAUACAUACACACACACAAACAAACAGCUGAACUUGGACAUGAAACAAACAUUCACAAGCAAAUAUUGGGAAAGACAUAUACACUUAGACGGUAAACAAAACCAGCAUACAGUUAAAACACCACAAACUAACUUUCAGAACAUCUCUCUCACACACACAGAUACUCACUGUAGUUGUGUCAGUCUGCUCUCUGUCAAGUCUCCUCUGUGUCUCAGUCAAAAUGAAGGCUGUAUGACAGUAACACACCUGUUCUUCGCCGAGUCAGGACUAGGAUCAGAUUCUAACCCACCUGUUCUUCCCCGAGUCAGGACUAGGAUCAGAUUCUAACCCACCUGUUCUUCCCCGAGUCAGGACUAGGAUCAGAUUCUAACCCACCUGUUCUUCCCCGAGUCAGGACUAAGAUCAGAUUCUAACCCACCUGUUCUACCCCGAGUCAGGACUAAGAUCAGACCGAGGAUCAGAUUCUAACCCACCUGCUACAUUACUGAUCAGAAGCUGCAAGUAACUUUAGUGUUGUCAUCACCAGACAGGUUUAACAGGUUACACUGCAUUCUAGCUGACUGUUCAUCUUUGUGUGCAUCCUAAAGAGGGGAGGUUAGAAAACCCCUUCAGGCCACACCCCUCUUCAGACCACACCCCUCUUCAGACCACACCCCUCUUCAGACCACACACCCCUUCAGGCCACACACCCCUUCAGGCCACACCCCUUUUCAGACCACAUCCCUCUUCAGGCCACACCCUUCUUCAGGCCACACACCCCUCUUCAGGCCACACACCCCUCUUCAGACCACACCCCUCUUCAGGCCACCCCC
ensembl:lncRNA